rnacentral:misc_RNA from 1 species
GAUGAAGAACGCAGUGAAACGCGAUAAGUAAUGUGAAUUGCAGAAUUUAGUGAAUCAUCGAAUCUUUGAACGCACAUUGCGCCCGCCAGUAUUCUGACGGGCAUGCCUGUUCGAGCGUCAUUUACACCCCUCGGGCCGUUCCGCGGCCCGGCGUUGGGGCUUUGCGCGGUCUCCCCGCGCAAGCCCUGAAAUGGAGUGGCGGGCCGUCCCGCGUCGCCUUUGCGUAGUCACCAUACCUCGCUCUGGGACGUGGCCGGUUUUCCGGCCGUAAAACCCCCCCCUUUUACAAGGUUGACCUCGGAUCAGGUAGGGAUACCCGCUGAACUUAAGCAUAUCAAUAAGCGGAGGA